rnacentral:tRNA from 1 species
UAUAAUUUAAUAUAUGAUGUAUAGAAAUUUUUGAUAUUUCAAGAAAUAGUUUAAUUCUAUUAAUUAUAA